rnacentral:misc_RNA from 1 species
UGAAUAAUGUAAUGGAUGUACGAAAUUUCAAAGAGUUAUGAUUUCGAAAUCUUCUUGAGAUAAUGUUCUGAAAAAUAUAAUCUCUGCUUACUUCAUUCUAAUUACGGUAAGAAGACGCGAUCAAUUGAGAAGAGCGGGGUCUCUCUCUUUCUCUCUCUCUCUCUCUCUCUCUCUCUCUCUCUCCUAAUCUCUAUCUUUCAGCAAUGCACUUUAUCUUCUCGCAUAUUUUAACGAUAAUAAAAUGAAGACGUCGUUUUCAUCGGCGUUGCAUUGUAUCAUGUCCGAGCGGUUUCUGAAUCGCGCGCGCUACCAAUAUGUGAACAAGCAAGAAGGAGAGAGAGAGAAACAGAGACGCACCUGCGUGCUGCGACGCGCAGCUGCGACCUUCGACGCCCUUGUACCGCCGGCAGCCGUUCCGGCGCGAGAGAAUAUCGUCGUCAUUUUUACAUGAGACGUCGCACGUCCACGUAAAGGUCCACUGUCGAGCUCCGUGUCAUCGUUGUCGACGUCGUCGUCGCCGUCGCCGUCGCUGUCGUUCGUCCGAUGCGGAUCUCCCUCUAAAAAUCCGGUUCUUUGCAAAGUUCAGAACCGGAAGCGCGAAAGUGUUUCGCCGAGCGGACGUGCGAACGCGAGUGCAUUUCACUUCGUGCGGCUUCAUUCUUAAAAAGAAAAAAAAGAUAAUUUAAAGAAGGAAGGAUCAUCUUCAGAGAAUUGAACGGUAAUUCAGCCAGCGUGCCGGCAGGCCGAGACAACGACUCGACCUCGCCUUUGCCCUUGGAGGGCAGGCAC